AUUUAAGUAGUUUAAAAUAAAACAGUGAUUUGUGGAAUUAAAAAUAUAUGAUUAAUAAUAUCUUAAAUU
rnacentral:tRNA from 1 species